rnacentral:rRNA from 1 species
GAGUUUGAUUCUGGCUCAGGACAAACGCUGGCGGCGUGCAUAACACAUGCAAGUCGAACGAAAUCUACAUGAUUUAGUGGCGAACGGGUGAGUAACACGUGAGAAACCUGCCUUACACAGAGGGAUAGCCGUUGGAAACGACGAUUAAUACCUCAUGACACCGUGACAUCGCAUGAUGAUGCGGUCAAAGAUUUAUCGGUGUAAGAUGGUCUCGCGCCUGAUUAGCUGGUUGGUGGGGUAACGGCCUACCAAGGCGACGAUCAGUAGCCGAUCUGAGAGGGUGGACGGCCACAUUGGGACUGAGACACGGCCCAAACUCCUACGGGAGGCAGCAGUGGGGAAUUUUGCACAAUGGGGGAAACCCUGAUGCAGCGACGCCGCGUGAACGAAGAAGGCCUUCGGGUUGUAAAGUUCUGUCCUUGGUGAAGAUAAUGACA